rnacentral:rRNA from 1 species
GGAGUAACACGUGGAUAACCUACCUAUAAGACUGGGAUAACUUCGGGAAGCCGGAGCUAAUACCGGAUAAUAUAUUGAACCGCAUGGUUCAAUAGUGAAAGACGGUUUUGCUGUCACUUAUAGAUGGAUCCGCGCCGCAUUAGCUAGUUGGUAAGGUAACGGCUUACCAAGGCAACGAUGCGUAGCCGACCUGAGAGGGUGAUCGGCCACACUGGAACUGAGACACGGUCCAG